CCUGUCGGUGACGGUGAGUCUGCGGAUCAGUCAGCAUGAUGAGCGCGAGGACGCUGCGGCAGCUCGCGACGCUUUCCAGGCGGAGCCUUCAGCAUCAUCAUCAUCAUUAUCAUCAUAAUCACCAGGAGAGGUCCGUGGGGAUCAUCGGGGCCCCUUUCUCCAAGGGACAGCCUCGAGGCGGAGUGGAGGGAGGACCGGACCAGAUCCGAGCUGCGGGGCUGCUGCACAAACUGCAGGAGCAAGGUGAGUAAAAUACUCUGUUACAGCCGCUGCAUUUACUCUGAAGUAAAAAGUACACAAGUAUUCUCAGCUUCAUGUAGGCUAGUUAAAGUAUCAGCAGUAAAAGUCGCUUACCAGUACUGCAGAGUGCAAAUACUGCAUUUAACAUUAUAUUAUUUAAUAAUGUAAAUAUUGUACAUAUCAUUUUUAUAUUGAUACUCUUUAUAUAUUUAUUUAUCUUCCUACUUUUAAAUUUCUGUUGAUGAGCAACUGCGACAAAAAGAUUUGAUUUCCCCUCAGGGAUCAUCAUGUAUUAUGAGCUUGUAUUUAAAGUAUCAGCAGUGAAAGUACACAAGUAUUUUCUACUUCAUGUAGUUAAAAUAUCUUUAGUAAAAGUACACAUGUAUUAUGAGCUUGUAUUUAAAGUAUCAGCAGUAAAAGUACACAUGUAUUAUGAGCUUGUAUUUAAAGUAUCAGCAGUGAAAGUACACAAGUAUUUUCUACUUCAUGUAGUUAAAAUAUCUUUAGUAAAAGUACACAUGUAUUAUGAGCUUGUAUUUAAAGUAUCAGCAGUAAAAGUACACAUGUAUUAUGAGCUUGUAUUUAAAGUAUCAGCAGUAAAAGUACACAAACACAUAAAUGUUAUUACAUUUAAAUGAAUAACAUUUCAUUUUAAAAUGAAAACAGACUGUUUGUUUAUCGUUCCUGUUAUUUAUCUGUAAGAAAACAGUUUUAAAAAAUAAACUUUUAAAUUAUAAAAA